GAAAGCUUGGCGAUACAGGGUGAUAGCCCCGUAACCGACGCUUCAUCGAGCGUGAAAUCGAGUAGGGCGGGACACGUGAUAUCCUGUCUGAAUAUGGGGGGACCAUCCUCCAAGGCUAAAUACUCCUGACUGACCGAUAGUGAACCAGUACCGUGAGGGAAAGGCGAAAAGAACCCCUGUGAGGGGAGUGAAAUAGAACCUGAAACCGUGUACGUACAAGCAGUAGGAGCACCUUCGUGGUGUGACUGCGUACCUUUUGUAUAAUGGGUCAGCGACUUAUAUUCAGUGGCAAGGUUAACCGUAUAGGGGAGCCGUAGCGAAAGCGAGUCUUAACUGGGCGCUCAGUCUCUGGAUAUAGACCCGAAACCGGGUGAUCUAGCCAUGGGCAGGUUGAAGGUUGAGUAACAUCAACUGGAGGACCGAACCGACUAAUGUUGAAAAAUUAGCGGAUGACUUGUGGCUAGGGGUGAAAGGCCAAUCAAACUCGGAGAUAGCUGGUUCUCCCCGAAAGCUAUUUAGGUAGCGCCUCGGACGAAUACUACUGGGGGUAGAGCACUGUUAAGGCUAGGGGGUCAUCCCGACUUACCAACCCUUUGCAAACUCCGAAUACCAGUAAGUACUAUCCGGGAGACACACGGCGGGUGCUAACGUCCGUCGUGGAGAGGGAAACAACCCAGACCGCCAGCUAAGGUCCCAAAGUAUUGCUAAGUGGGAAACGAUGUGGGAAGGCUCAGACAGCUAGGAUGUUGGCUUAGAAGCAGCCAUCAUUUAAAGAAAGCGUAAUAGCUCACUAGUCGAGUCGGCCUGCGCGGAAGAUGUAACGGGGCUAAGCAAUACACCGAAGCUGCGGCAAUAUCUUUUAGAUAUUGGGUAGGGGAGCGUUCUGUAAGCCGUUGAAGGUGAAUCGUAAGGUUUGCUGGAGGUAUCAGAAGUGCGAAUGCUGACAUGAGUAACGACAAAGGGGGUGAAAAACCUCCUCGCCGGAAGACCAAGGGUUCCUGUCCAACGUUAAUCGGGGCAGGGUGAGUCGACCCCUAAGGUGAGGCCGAAAGGCGUAAUCGAUGGGAAACGGGUUAAUAUUCCCGUACUUCUGACUAUUGCGAUGGGGGGACGGAGAAGGCUAGGUGGGCCAGGCGACGGUUGUCCUGGUUCAAGUGCGUAGGCUUGAGAGUUAGGUAAAUCCGGCUCUCUCUAAGGCUGAGACACGACGUCGAGCUGCUACGGCAGUGAAGUCAUUGAUGCCAUGCUUCCAGGAAAAGCCUCUAAGCUUCAGAUAGUCAGGAAUCGUACCCCAAACCGACACAGGUGGUCGGGUAGAGAAUACCAAGGCGCUUGAGAGAACUCGGGUGAAGGAACUAGGCAAAAUGGUACCGUAACUUCGGGAGAAGGUACGCUCUUGAUGGUGAAGUCCCUCGCGGAUGGAGCUGACGAGAGUCGCAGAUACCAGGUGGCUGCAACUGUUUAUUAAAAACACAGCACUGUGCAAAAUCGCAAGAUGACGUAUACGGUGUGACGCCUGCCCGGUGCCGGAAGGUUAAUUGAUGGGGUUAGCGCAAGCGAAGCUCUUGAUCGAAGCCCCGGUAAACGGCGGCCGUAACUAUAACGGUCCUAAGGUAGCGAAAUUCCUUGUCGGGUAAGUUCCGACCUGCACGAAUGGCGUAAUGAUGGCCACGCUGUCUCCACCCGAGACUCAGUGAAAUUGAAAUCGCUGUGAAGAUGCAGUGUACCCGCGGCUAGACGGAAAGACCCCGUGAACCUUUACUACAGCUUGGCACUGAACAUUGAACCUACAU
rnacentral:rRNA from 1 species